CCUACGGGAGGCUGCAGUGGGGAAUAUUGGACAAUGGGGGCAACCCUGAUCCAGCCAUGUCGCGUGUGUGAAGAAGGCCCUCGGGUUGUAAAGCACUUUCAGUGAGGAAGAACGCCUGGUGGUUAAUACCCAUCAGGAAAGACAUCACUCACAGAAGAAGCACCGGCUAACUCCGUGCCAGCAGCCGCGGUAAUACGGAGGGUGCGAGCGUUAAUCGGAAUUACUGGGCGUAAAGCGCGCGUAGGUGGCUUGAUAAGCCGGUUGUGAAAGCCCCGGGCUCAACCUGGGAACGGCAUCCGGAACUGUCAAGCUAGAGUGCAGGAGAGGAAGGUAGAAUUCCCGGUGUAGCGGUGAAAUGCGUAGAGAUCGGGAGGAAUACCAGUGGCGAAGGCGGCCUUCUGGACUGACACUGACACUGAGGUGCGAAAGCGUGGGUAGCAAACAGGAUUAGAUACCCCAGUAGUC
rnacentral:rRNA from 1 species